AUCGUACGGGAGGCAGCAGUGGGGAAUAUGGACAAUGGGGGCAACCCUGAUCCAGCAAUUCUGUGUGCACGAAGACGGUUUUCGGAUUGUAAAGUGCUUUCAGCAGGGAAGAAGGAAGUGACGGCACCUGCAGAAGAAGCGACGGCUAAAUACGUGCCAGCAGCCGCGGUAAUCGAU
rnacentral:rRNA from 1 species